AUACGGCCAUAUCAAGUUGAAAGUCCAGUUCUUGUCAUUCUCGUAAGAUCACCGAAGUUAAGCAACAUUGAGCCAGUCAGUACCAAAUGGGUGACCGAUUGGGAAUACCAGGUGCUC